UGGUUGCAAUGAACCAGUGUGCUGCCGAGUCUUGUCUCUAAAGCUUAGUUUACUAUUUAUCAUUUAUUUUUAAGGUUUGCGUUAACUAAAGACCCUUUUACCAUUAUUUAAAAGUGUAAAAAUAGCAUUAGCUAGUUUCGGAGUUGUUUAGUUAUUUGCAAACAAAAACACCUGUUGUGGGGCUAGUAUAGGUCUACUAAUCGUGUUCAAGUACUUCGUGAUCACUUCACACCCGAUAACCAUAAAAGAGAAAGCUACGGGCAAUGACCGUUUUCUCCGACAACACCAUGCAAUUUCAGCAGUUUCUGACAGAACCGUGUGAGUGAACGAACCGUUAGGUUUUCUCCGUCGCGCCUGAAAUGAUGUGUACGAUGAACAUUUGCGUUGGGAAAUACAAGUGCUACUCGUCUGCUAUUCCGAACUUCUUAGUGCGGAUGCAUUAAGUAUAGAAACGUAUUAUUUGCCAUAAAGAAGGCGUUGAGCAUGAAGGCUCGGCAAUAGUCCUGCAACCAGCAACAUCUGAUGAUCCCCAUUCGCUUCUCGUUAUUAUCUCGUUAUGAAUCUACAUGAGUGUGAUGACCUUGUGCCAUGGUACGAUUCCGAGUUCGAUGUGAAGCGCAUAGUAGAAUCUAUGUGCGUGGUUUUCAACUUUACUGUAGGCAUGUUCAAGUGAGGCUAACGAACUUUAAAAUGCAAUAGGUUGGGUCCAGUUUUGUCCAAAAGGGUUUCAAGCAAAUGAUUUUUCACACUUGCAUAGCGAUAGCUGGCAACAAAAAGACUCUUUCGGUUGCUAUCGUCUUUAUAUGGAUUGCUGAAAUUAUUGCAGCAUUAAGCAUUACUUAUAUAACCUCAAAAUGAAAAAAAGCACCUAGAAUAAAUAAAAACUUUUCAUGAGUGAGCAAGUUUACUGCAAAGUAGUAUGCAUUUUUACACGUAUUAAAUGGUUUACAUAAUAUUUGUUUUGUUACUUAUUAAAGAGUAUCUCAUUGUCGUUGCCACCGUAUUGGCAAAAAAAAAAAAGAAAAAAGACUAAAGAAUUGUGCGGUCCCAAUUCAACCGUAUAUUGUUGGCACAGGCUUGUGAAAUCAAGAAGGCAGACAAGCAUUUCAAGGCAGCCGUCGUCUCGUAUGUCAUAGAGAAAAAAAUUAGUUUCUUCGCUUGAAGAAGUCUGCUUCCACAACUAGACUUUUAAAAUGUUUUCUACAAAUUAUCUCCCAUUGAAUGUUUCCCUCCCCCAAUCAAGUUUUGUAAAAAGCAUUGAAAGAGGUUUUUCCAAUGUUUGUAUCUUCUUUGCUCCCAUUUCAUUUCCCCUUACUUGUUCCAGACAGAUGCCCUGGCCCUUCUUAAUGUGUUAUGCCCACAGAACUCGGAGACAGGCGGCGGCGCUCGCGUCAGUUUUCGAUUUCCAAAAUGAAUUUUCUGCUUCUUGUAUUUUACGCACUGCCAACAU